rnacentral:rRNA from 1 species
AGGCAGCAGUGGGGAAUAUUGCACAAUGGGCGAAAGCCUGAUGCAGCGACGCCGCGUGAAGGAUGAAGUAUUUCGGUAUGUAAACUUCUAUCAGCAGGGAAGAAAAUGACGGUACCUGACUAAGAAGCCCCGGCUAACUACGUGCC